AACGAACGCUGGCGGCGUGCCUAACACAUGCAAGUCGAACGAGAAAGGGGCUUCGGCUCCGAGUAAAGUGGCGCACGGGUGAGUAACACGUGGGUAACCUGCCUCUAAGAUUGGGAUAACUCGUCGAAAGAUGAGCUAAUACCGAAUAAGACCACAGUUCCCGCGGGAACAGGGGUCAAAGGUAGCCUCUGCUUGCAAGCUAUCACUUAGAGAUGGGCCUGCGCACCAUUAGCUAGUUGGUGGGGUAACGGCCUACCAAGGCAAAGAUGGUUAGCUGGUCUGAGAGGAUGAUCAGCCACACUGGAACUGAGACACGGUCCAGACUCCUACGGGAGGCAGCAGUGGGGAAUAUUGCGCAAUGGGCGAAAGCUUGACGCAGCAACGCCGCGUGAGUGAUGAAGGCCUUCGGGUCGUAAAGCUCUGUCGGGAGGAACGAAUGCUCCUGAGGUAAACAGCCUCGGGAGGUGACGGUACCUUCAAAGGAAGCACCGGCUAACUCUGUG
rnacentral:rRNA from 1 species